rnacentral:tRNA from 1 species
CAAAGUGUAGCUUAACCAAAGCGCCUGGCUUACACCCAGAGGAUUUCAUAUGUCAUGACCACUUUGA